rnacentral:rRNA from 1 species
UGCCAGCAGCCGCGGUAAUACGAAGGGGGCUAGAGUUGUUCGGAAUUACUGGGCGUAAAGCGCACGUAGGCGGACUUUUAAGUCAGGGGUGAAAUCCCGGAGCUCAACCCCGGAACUGCCUUCAAUACUGCCAGUCUUGAGUCCGAGAGAGGUGAGUGGAAUUCCUAGUGUAGAGGUGAAAUUCGUAGAUAUUAGGAAGAACACCAGUGGCGAAGGCGGCUCACUGGCUCGGUACUGACGCUGAGGUGCGAAAGCGUGCGGAGCAAACAGGAUUAGAUA